rnacentral:tRNA from 1 species
GUGCCCGUAGCUCAGCUGGAUAGAGCGUUGGUUUGCGGAGCCAAAGGCCGCGCGUUCGAAUCGCGCCGGGCACACCA